AAGCCGGGCGAAACAGGGUGAGAGCCCCGUACCCGAAGGACCGCGGGCCCGAGAGAGGGAUCCCGAGUAAUGCCGGACACGUGAAACCCGGUAUGAAUCUGGGGGGACCACCCUCCAAGGCUAAGCACUCUCCUAUGACCGAUAGCGAACCAGUACCGUGAGGGAAAGGUGAAAAGCACCCCGAGAGGGGAGUGAAACAGUACCUGAAACCGUGUGCCUACAAGCAGUCGGAGCAGCCAUGCGCUGUGACGGCGUGCCUUUUGUAGAAUGAGCCAGCGAGUUGCGGUUGGCGGCGAGGUUAAGGCGUGAACCGAGCCGCAGUGAAAGCGAGCCUUUAAGAUGGCGAUCAGUCGCCAGCCGCAGACGCGAAGCCGGGUGAUCUAUCCAUGGGCAGGCUGAGGCAGAGGUAAGACUCUGUGGAGGGCCGAACCCACUUCGGUUGAAAACGGAGGGGAUGACCUGUGGAUAGGGGUGAAAGGCCAAUCAAACCCGGAGAUAUCUCGUUCUCCCCGAAAUAGCUUUAGGGCUAGCCUCGAUCGCUUACCGACGGUGGUAGAGCACUGGAUCCGUGCGGGGGCCUCACCGCCUACCAACCGAAACCAAACUCCGAAUGCCGUCGGUCCCGAGAUCGGGAGUCAGAACAUGUGGGCUAAGCCGUGUGUUCGAGAGGGAAACAGCCCAGACCGCCUGCUAAGGUCCCCAAAUCAACGCUGAGUGGCAAAGGAUGUGCGUUUGCCUAGACAACCAGGAUGUUGGCUUAGAAGCAGCCAUGCAUUUAAAGAGUGCGUAACAGCUCACUGGUCAAGUGGACAUGCGCCGACAAUACACGGGGCUAAGCGUUGUACCGAAGCAGCGGACUGUUUUAUCAGUGGUAGGGGAGCUUUCCAUGCCGGGGCGAAGCCGACGGGCGACCGUCGGUGGACUGCAUGGAAGUGAGAAUGCUGGCAUGAGUAACGAGAGAGGGGCGAGAAACCCCUCCGCCGUAAGCCUAAGGGUUCCUGGGCAAGGCUAAUCCCCCCAGGGUCAGUCGGGAGCUAAGGCGAGGCCGACAGGCGUAGCCGAUGCACAACAGGCGGACAUUCCUGUACCACCGCGGAGCGUUACUACGACGGGGUGACGGAGAAGGGUAGCCGGGCGGGGUUCUGGACGUCCCCGUGAAAGCGCGUAGGCCGCAGGGCAGGCAAAUCCGCCCUGCAGCAGGCCGAGACGUUAGACGAAGCUUCAUGUGAAGCCGGCGAGCCCAUGCUUCCGAGAAAAACCUCUAAGGAGCGAGGCGGUGCCCGUACCAAAACCGACACAGGUAGGCGGGUAGAGCAUACCAAGGCGAUCGGGAGAACCAUGGUUAAGGAACUCGGCAUACUGACUCCGUAACUUCGGGAGAAGGAGUGCCCCCGCCUGUGAGGUCCCACGCGGACGGAGCGGGAGGGGGUCGCAGCGAAACGGCCCAAGCGACUGUUUACCAAAAACACAGGACUCUGCAAAGCCGCAAGGCGACGUAUAGGGUCUGACGCCUGCCCGGUGCUGGAAGGUUACGCGGAUGAGUUAGCGCAAGCGAAGCCCUGAAGCCAAGCCCCAGUAAACGGCGGCCGUAACUAUAACGGUCCUAAGGUAGCGAAAUUCCUUGUCGGGUAAGUUCCGACCUGCACGAAUGGCGUAACGACUUGGGCGCUGUCUCAACCAUGGACCCGGUGAAAUUGUAUUAUUCGUGAAGAUGCGAAUUACCUGCGGAAGGACGGAAAGACCCCGUGAACCUUUACUGCAGCUUGGCAUUGGCUGUUGGUGCGGUGCGUAGAGGAUAGGCAGGAGCCUGCGAACCGGGAACGCCAGUUCCCGGGGAGGCGCCCUUGGAAUACUGCCCUCACCGCAUCGGCAGCCUAACGCGCCGCCCUCAUCGGGGGCGCGGACCGUGCCAGGUGGGUAGUUUGACUGGGGCGGUCGCCUCCUAAACUGUAACGGAGGCGUGCGAAGGUUCGCUCAGGGCGGUUGGCAAUCGCCCGCAGAGCACAAGAGUACAAGCGAGCCUGACUGCGAGACCAACAAGUCGAGCAGAGACGAAAGUCGGUUCUAGUGAUCCGGCGGCCCAGCGUGGAAU
rnacentral:rRNA from 1 species